CGAAGGUUCGUUCAAUGGCAGGACACCUGUCUGAUAUGCAGGCAACGAUGGUUCGAUUCCAUCACCUUCGACCA
rnacentral:tRNA from 1 species